AUUGAACGCUGGCGGCAUGCUUUACACAUGCAAGUCGAACGGUAACAGGCCGCAAGGUGCUGACGAGUGGCGAACGGGUGAGUAAUGCAUCGGAACGUGCCCAGCCGUGGGGGAUAACUACUCGAAAGAGUAGCUAAUACCGCAUACGAUCUAUGGAUGAAAGCGGGGGACCGUAAGGCCUCGCGCGAUUGGAGCGGCCGAUGUCAGAUUAGGUAGUUGGUGGGGUAAAGGCUCACCAAGCCAACGAUCUGUAGCGGGUCUGAGAGGACGACCAGCCACACUGGGACUGAGACACGGCCCAGACUCCUACGGGAGGCAGCAGUGGGGAAUUUUGGACAAUGGGCGCAAGCCUGAUCCAGCAAUGCCGCGUGCAGGAAGAAGGCCUUCGGGUUGUAAACUGCUUUUGUACGGAACGAAACGGCUCUGGUUAAUACCCGGGGAUAAUGACGGUACCGUAAGAAUAAGCACCGGCUAACUACGUG
rnacentral:rRNA from 1 species